GACGAACGCUGGCGGCGUGCCUAAUACAUGCAAGUUGAGCGCUGAAGGUUGGUACUUGUACCAACUGGAUGAGCAGCGAACGGGUGAGUAACGCGUGGGGAAUCUGCCUUUGAGCGGGGGACAACAUUUGGAAACGAAUGCUAAUACCGCAUAAAAACUUUAAACACAAGUUUUAAGUUUGAAAGAUGCAAUUACAUCACUCAAAGAUGAUCCCGCGUUGUAUUAGCUAGUUGGUGAGGUAAAGGCUCACCAAGGCGAUGAUACAUAGCCGACCUGAGAGGGUGAUCGGCCACAUUGGGACUGAGACACAGCCCAAACUCCUACGGGAGGCAGCAGUAGGGAAUCUUCGGCAAUGGACGAAAGUCUGACCGAGCAACGCCGCGUGAGUGAAGAAGGUUUUCGGAUCGUAAAACUCUGUUGGUAGAGAAGAACGUUGGUGAGAGUGGAAAGCUCAUCAAGUGACGGUAACUACCCAGAAAGGGACGGCUAACUACGUG
rnacentral:rRNA from 1 species